UACGUAGGGACCAAGCGUUGUUCGGAUUUACUGGGCGUAAAGGGCGCGUAGGCGGCCAGCGCAAGUCAGUUGUGAAAUCUCCGGGCUUAACCCGGAAAGGUCAGCCGAUACUGCGGGGCUAGAGUGCAGAAGGGGCAACUGGAAUUCUCGGUGUAGCGGUGAAAUGCGCAGAUAUCGGGAGGAACACCAAUGGCGAAGGCAGCUCGCUGGGACGUUACUGACGCUGAGACGCGAAAGCGUGGGAGCAACAGG
rnacentral:rRNA from 1 species